GAGGAAUAUUGGUCCAUGGACGCGAGUCUGAACCAGCCAAAUCGCGUGAAGGAAGACUGCCCCACGGGUUGUUAACUUCCUUUGUACAGGAAUAAAAGACAUGACGUGUACGGUAUUGCAUGUAACGUAUGAAUAAGCAUCGGCUAACUCCGUGCCAGCAGCCGCGGUAAUACGGAGGAUGCGAGCGUUAUCCGGAUUUAUUGGGUUUAAAGGGUGCGCAGGCGGGAUUUUAAGUCAGCGGUGAAAUUUUCAGGCUCAACCUGAACACUGCCGUUGAAACUGGGAUUCUUGAGUAUGGAUGAAGUAGGCGGAAUUCGUUGUGUAGCGGUGACAUGCUUAGAUAUAACGAGGAACUCCGAUUGCGUAGGCAGCUUACUAAGCCAUAACUGACGCUCAAGCACGAAAGCGUGGGGAUCAAACA
rnacentral:rRNA from 1 species